rnacentral:rRNA from 1 species
GACGAACGCUGACGGCGUGCUUAACACAUGCAAGUCGAACGGUGAAGCGCCUUCCUUUUUGGUGGGUGUGGAUGAGUGGCGAACGGGUGAGUAACACGUGAGUAACCUGCCCCCUUCUUCUGGAUAACCGCAUGAAAGUGUGGCUAAUACGGGAUAUUCUGGGCCUGUCGCAUGAUGGGUCUGGGAAAGAUAUUGUUUCGGUGGGGGAUGGGCUCGCGGCCUAUCAGCUUGUUGGUGGGGUGAUGGCCUACCAAGGCGGUGACGGGUAGCCGGCCUGAGAGGGUGGACGGUCACACUGGGACUGAGACACGGCCCAGACUCCUACGGGAGGCAGCAAUGGGGAAUAUUGCACGAUGGGCGCAAGCCUGAUGCAGCGACGCCGCGUGAGGGAUGGAGGCCUGCGGGUUGUGAACCGCUUUCGCCAGUGAAGCAGGCCUGCCUCGUUUGUGGGUGGGUUGACGGUAGCUGGAUAAGAAGCGCCGGCUAACUACGUG